rnacentral:rRNA from 1 species
CCGGGUCUUGUACUCACCGCCCGUCACACCAUGGGAGUUGUGUUUGCCUUAAGUCAGGAUGCUAAAUUGGCUACUGCCCACGGCACACACAGCGACUGGGGUGAAGUCGUAACAAGGUAACCGUAGGUGAACCUGCGGUUGGAUCACCUCCUUUCUAGA